GGCGAACGGGUGAGUAAUGCAUCGGAACGUGCCCAGUCGUGGGGGAUAACGCAGCGAAAGUUGUGCUAAUACCGCAUACGAUCUAUGGAUGAAAGCGGGGGACCUUCGGGCCUCGCGCGAUUGGAGCGGCCGAUGUUAGAUUAGGUAGUUGGUGGGGUAAAGGCUCACCAAGCCAACGAUCUAUAGCUGGUCUGAGAGGACGACCAGCCACACUGGAACUGAGACACGGUCCAGACUCCUACGGGAGGCAGCAGUGGGGAAUUUUGGACAAUGGGCGAAAGCCUGAUCCAGCAAUACCGCGUGCAGGAAGAAGGCCCUCGGGUUGUAAACUGCUUUUGUACGGAACGAAACGGCGCGCUCUAAUAAAGUGCGCUAAUGACGGUACCGUAAGAAUAAGCACCGGCUAACUACGUGCCAGCAGCCGCGGUAAUACGUAGGGUGCGAGCGUUAAUCGGAAUUACUGGGCGUAAAGCGUGC
rnacentral:rRNA from 1 species